UCCUUAGGUCGGUUGUAAGAACCCCAGCCUAUUUCCUGUUUGCAUCAAGAGCACAAGUUCAUCUGUUAUGGCUUCUUCCCCUUGACUUUAGCUAACACCAUUCCAGCCAUAUGAGGAAAUGGAUCAGCAUCUAUCUCCAUGGAAGCUUGUCCUUUAUCGUCGGCCUUUGUAAAAUCCUAACCGAUGGUGGACACGGAAUUACUUGGCCUACUGUGCCAAAAGCAUACUGAGCAGAAGAGAAUGGAGGAAAGUUGGACGAUCCAGGCUUUGACAUAACAUCAUUAAGGAUAUUAAUAAGCAUUGGCCUGACCACGUCAGAAAGGUACUUCACCAUGUGGCUAGUCAAGUCAUUCCAUUGCUCUUCGAACAUCCUUUUCAUAUAACAGCACAGCACUUGGUUCCAAUUGCCUCUUCUGCUCUUCAAUGAGUUGUCUGAAAUAUCAACCUCUCUACCCUGAUUUUGUUCUGCCACUACUUGGGCGGUAGAUGACUCAAAACGUCCUAUCCUGUCAUUGUCAUGUUGCGGUGACUGGUUGUUACCAACGCCAUUGUCAGGAUCGGACUGAUUUCUUGUUCUGACUAUUGUAUUUCCUCAAAUCAAUCACACUAGUCUCACAGAGCAUACUAAAAAAAUGUUUCACUGGAA